GGGCGAUUAGCUCAGUUGGUUAGAGCACCAGCUCGACAAGCUGGGGGUCACAGGUUCGAGCCCUGUAUCGCCCACUA
rnacentral:tRNA from 1 species